rnacentral:rRNA from 1 species
UACGGGGGGGGCGAGCGUUACUCGGAAUUACUGGGCGUAAAGCGCACGUAGGUGGCGACGUAAGUCGGGUGUGAAAGCCCCGGGCUCAACCUGGGAAUUGCAUUCGAGACUGCAUUGCUGGAGUACGGAAGAGGAGGGCGGAAUUCUCGGUGUAGCAGUGAAAUGCGUAGAUAUCGAGAGGAACACCAGUGGCGAAGGCGAGUCUCUGGACGACUCCUGACACUGAGGCACGAAAGCUAGGGGAGCAAACAGG